CGGUGUGGUUCAUGACUGGGGUGAAGUCGUAACAAGGUAGCCGUAGGGGAACCUGCGGCUGGAUCACCUCCUUACAUUA
rnacentral:rRNA from 2 species